rnacentral:misc_RNA from 1 species
UUACGUGCCGUGCACGACGCACCUUCUUAGUUGUUUGAAAAUGAUACCCAUGGCUAACUGCCUUCAGCAAACUUCAAUCAACGAUAUUACUUACCGUACGCACAGAUGUAUGUUUUUUUCACUGAAACAAAACCAAAAGUCAUAUCGUACUUACUUUUGUUAAGAAACAACCACAAAGUAGUAGAAACAACUUAUGAAUGGCCUCGACACCAGCUUCCGUUGAGUAAACCACAGGGUGCGCUCUUUCAUUCGGCCGUUGCGCGUAGAUUGUAUCUUCAUUUCUUACUAAAUAUCCAAGUACGACGGAGACAAAUAUAGGUAUUCAUGCAUACCUGCGCAGAGAGAAUAAAAGGACGUACCCCACAUGCAGGCAUGUGGCUGCAUUAGUCAUCAGCCGUAGGUGGGCGAUGUGUCAAAUAAAGUGACAUUCGACAUAUCGGUUUAAUUGUAAAUAUGUACAAUUACAGCGUUGAUAAAGCUGAGCUGUGAAGGUCUGGUCAACGGUAUAGAACAACAUUCUCCAUCCAUUCAGUGAAACUGAUAUUAAUCAAGAGUUACAAAUAUGGACGUCUUGAACAAGCUCCGAAACACAGUGAGCAACACCAUAAGCAAUACUAUAAGCAACACUGUUAACAGUACAGCUUAUGGUCUCUCCCAACUAUCAAGUGUUCUGCCUGGAAAUCCAGUAACCAGAGAAUUUGAAGCAACUGCACAUGUCGGCAGCGCUGGUCCAGGCCUGCUAUGGAAGGUUUACAGUGGUUAUAAAAAAUCAACCAAACAGGAAGCAGCUAUAUUUGUCUUUGAGAAACGCCAGCUAGACCGAUGGUCUGGAAAAGUUGAGCGUGAAGCUGUUCUUGAUUCUCUCAGACGUGGGGUUACUCAAAUCACAAAACUCCGCCAUCCUCAGGUUUUGAUAGUUCAGCAUCCGCUGGAGGAGUCGCGGGACAGUUUAGCCUUUGCUACCGAACCAGUCUUUGCAAGCCUUGCUAACGUACUAGGCCGGCUUGAAAAUGUACCUCAACCAACGCCAGCUGCUUUAAGAGAUUAUAAACUACUUGAUGUCGAAAUUCGCUACGGUCUCAUGCAACUAGGCGAAGGUUUAGCCUUUCUCCAUACUGAUGUCAAACUGUUGCACAGAAAUUUGUGCCCAGAAGCCAUUAUGAUCAAUGGACAUGGAGCCUGGAAAAUUUUUGGAUUUGAUUUCUGUGCUGUUAAUCAGAGCCCGAACGAUAAACAGCCAUCGUGGUCAUAUGCAGAUUAUGACCCAACAAUACCGAGUAUAGCACAGCCAUCUUUAGAUUAUUUAGCACCUGAGUGUGCAAUUGCAGGCAGCUGCAGUCCACCUAGUGAUAUUUUUUCACUGGGCAUGCUCGUGUAUGUCUUACAUUCACCAGGGGGCCGUCCACUGAACGAAUGUCAUGGAGAUCCGUCAAAAUGCCGACGCUUUUUGGGAGAUCUAAAGAACUCUCUUUCCUCAUCUAAACUUAGUCACAUUCCUGAACCACUAAGAGAUACUACAAAACUCAUGCUAAGUAAUAAUCCUGAACUGAGACCAGAUGCGCAUCAAUUUAUUAAGAUUGAUUACUUUACUGAUAUUGGAGUGCGGACAUUGAACUAUUUGGACAAACUCUUUCAAUGGGACAAUCUACAAAAGUCCCAGUUUUACAAAGGUCUGCCAAAAGUAAUAAAGCAACUUCCGCACAGAGUUGCCCUACACAGAGUAUUACCAGCCCUCUACAAAGAAUUUGUUAAUGCUCCAAUGGUGCCUUUUGUACUCCCAAGUGUACUACAGGUAUCGGAAAAUGGCACUGCAGAAGAAUUCAAGGAACACAUUUUACCCAACCUAAAACCUGUGUUGGCACUGGAAGACCCACCACAGGUCAGCUUAGUUUUACUACAACGUGUUGAUCUACUUUUGAAACUGUGCCCGGCUGAUGCGAUCAGAAACAAUGUCCUGCCACUUCUUACACGAGCUCUAGAUUCCGAUUGGGAGCAGCUGCAAGAGCUCUGCCUUGCUGCGCUCCCUUCUAUAGCCAACUUGAUCGAUGGACCAUCAAUGAAAAAUGCGAUUUUACCUAGAAUUAAAAAAUUAUGUCUAGCAAGUAAAGGUAGUACCAACUUGGGGGUGAGGGUGAACUGUCUUCUGUGCCUUGCUAAAAUGCUAGACCACUUGGACAAGUGGUUGAUUCUAGAUCAAAUUCUUCCAUUUCUCCAAGAAGUCCCACAUUCUGGCGAACCUGCCGUUUUAAUGGCCAUUAUAGGUAUUUACAAGCUGGUACUGACCCACAGCAAGCUGGGCAUGAGUAAGGAAAUGUUGGCAACUCGAAUUUUGCCAUUUCUGCUUCCAUUCUGUGUUGAGCCAGGACUUAGUCCCACACAAUUUGAAACACUAGCUUCGCUUGUGGGAGAUAUGGUGACACGAGUUACCUCUGAGCAUCGUGAAGCUCUCCGUCAACUGGAUGCUGUCCGAAAGGAAGCUCAACAAUUUGAUCAGGCUCUUUCCCAAGCUGGCAAUCCUACAUCUAGUAGUUUGAGUGACACGUUCGCUGGAAUUGAACUAGCACCACCGCCUACUGCUGCGGCAAAAACGUGCGAUACAAAAGUACUCAGCCUACAAGAGAAGCAAAAACUCGUCCAGCAACAAGAAGCACAUCAGAGACUGCAAGCCCAAGCGCCAAUGGCUCCAAAGCCAAUUGUUCAACCUGUGAAAUCCAAGCCCAAAGAUCUAACUGACACGCUUUUACAAAAUAAUCUAAAUCAGUUGAACAAACCUUUAACUAAGUCUUCAAGUUCUGAAUCAAAUUAUGCCGCCUUGCAGUCUCCGUCCUGGGGAAAGACUGGAAUGACUAACGGUAUGACAAACAGUCAAACUCAGUGGGGUGAUCUAGCAAUCACAGCUGGACCACAAACUGUUCAAAACCCAAUGUCAGGUUGGGGUUCAAACGCAAUGAAUCCAACUAUGAAUUGGGGGGGAUCUCAGCAAUCUGCACCAAACUGGAAUCAGACUAGAGUCAAUCAAAAUAUAGGUCAGAAUUGGGGAUCAUCUGUAAAUUCUGGAAUAAGGCCACAAUGGAGACCGGAAGGAGGGGCACAGGGGAUGUCUCAACCUCUUGUAUCCCAACCACGAACGACUCCGAAUCUAUCCACACAAGACAUUAUGGACUUACUUAGCUAAUACAAACUGACUGCAUUAGAGAAUAGUUUAAUAUUCGACUUAACUGUUACAAAGUGAUACUCAAGCAUUACAGGAACCACGAAAUGCGGGACUUGUACUUGUAAAAUCGCGACAAAGUUUGGAAGAUUUCUACAAGAAUACGUGCACCUCGUUAUUAGUGACUAUUUCCGUUGUACAUGCUAGAAAUGACUGUUUGGUAACUGUUAUCAACUUGGAUUCAUCUUUUUUUUCGACAAUUGUUAUUAUGAUACAAAUUCGAAUAAACUGGUUAACUAUAAGCAUCAGAUUUAAAAUUUGUGACAGUUUACAUUUUUAUAAUGUAAUCACGAAUUUUACCCGUUUUGUAGAAAAUUACGUUAUAAAUACACCUACGUUAAAAUUUACGAACAUAAUCUAUAAAGUACUGUUUGCAGUGUAUUUAUAAAUUUAGUUUAAUCAAAAAUCACUUAUUUAAUUGGAAUUUAUCCAAGAAUUUCACUCACGUUCACAGUAACUCAUACUUUAUACCCUAAAAUAUCUAUAUGCAUUGGUGCAUUUCAUAUAGAAUAUAGAUUGAGUUUUUCUAAAUACACAAAGUAUGUUCAUAUCAGUAAACUAACAGAGUGUUAUGCUUUUCUAACAUAAAUCUAGCUCAAAUGAGUACUUAUGUAAUAUGUAUAGUGAAGUAAAUUAUUUUUCAAUUAACUAUCCCUACACAAUUACAUAACUGAGAUAACAUAAAGGAUAUCCAAUCUAACUAUAUAACCAGAUUCAAUAAAGAAUAGAAUUCGAUUUU